CCUGAGUCACCUCAAUCAUCAAAGCCAACCCACUAACCUCGGGCUUCAAAGAAUUCUGAGUAAUUAGAGUUGAGGGCAUUUGCUAGGAAAGAGAGAGUCACUCAAGACAAGAAGAACAAGUGCUUACUGAAGAUGAAGCUCCAGAUAUACACUUGACUCAGCUGUACUUGAAAGUCAUUUUCUUUCAUGCCAGAGAGAAACUUAUUUAUUAGUUCUGCUCAUCUUUGGAAGUGUUUUCACCUCUACAGGGGCUAUAACAUCAACAUGCAAGCCGAAGAAAAUCAAACAGUAGGAUUUACACAUUCUGGAAUCAAGACUGUCGCUCCUAUUUUAUUUACUUCACUCAAAAGGCUUUGAUGAGGGAUGUUUUGAUGACUAUCUCUCUGAACAGUUGCAGCAUCCUAUAAAUGAUUGUUCUACAGCUUUCAAGAAAAUUCUGUCAUCCCAGCUCUCAAGUUCUUUUUACCCAGCUCUAAUUACAUAAAUUGUUAUAUAAACAGAUGUCUGUUACACCAAAGUCUACUUCGCUUGGGAACUGUAAUUUUUCUGAGUUCAUAUGCCAGUGGGCUAAAAGAAACAUCUUUUGAUGUUCCCAUGGAAGGUUUUUAUGCAGUCAGGAUGUGAGCAGAAAAGCAGUCAUCAAUCAGGCCCCUUUGCCUUCAUGCUCCAAGGAACAGAGAGAAAAGACUCAGAAGAGAGAACACCACAGGCCUCAGCUUGAUGCCUAAUGGAACUCUUUAUCUUGGUUAAAUUAAUUCCUUUUCCCAAGAUACACACUUCUGUCAAUGACUCCCCUAUAACCACAACAAAGACAAUU